GCAGGGGCCAGUGUAGGAAAAGAAGCCGGGGCGAGGCAAGGUGGAGGAUAUCCGGGGUCAGGGGUCCCAGGGACGCUGGAGCGAGCCCUCCUGAGUGGUGGGAUGCCACCGACACCUUGCUUCUCCCUAGCUUCUAGUGCUCGGCGCUCAGAGGUCAAAAUGGUGUUCCAUGAAAAAAAAAAAGUGACUAGUUAAGCUCACAGUUCAAACAAGUGCAAAUGCUUUUCUGGAGACAACCAUUGUGCUGCAUCGGAUAUGGCAGAAGUGCUCUAUGUUGCUUCCCAGAAUAUUAAAAAGAUGUAUACUCAAGGACCAGUAUAUUGUGAAUGGGAUCAUUUUUAUUGCUGCAUCAAAGACUUUCCUGGUCGAUGUUGGCAGUGUUUUCCUAUGAGGGCGUGGCAGUGAAAAAUGCGAUGACUUCCUGUACAUCGCAUUGGAGGCCGCCACGUUGGCUUUUGCACCGUCAGGGAAAUGUCAACCCAGCAA
rnacentral:lncRNA from 1 species